AGGCGCUCGGCGUCCUCCCACCCGGAUCCAUUGCACACUGUGGCCAGGCGUCGAUUGGAGCCCCGUGGCUCCUGCCCAGCCAACCUGCCCUCCUCCCUCAGAGGAUCCAAGUCUGUUCCCAGAAUGUUCCUAGCGGCACUGCAUAUUGGAGCCCAGCUGCGAACACCCAAGGAACCAUCAACAGGUUGGAACCAUCGCCGGAGAGAUGACUCAGCCAUUAAGAGCACUUGAUCCAGUGACCAAGGACCUAAGUUGAGUUCCCAGCGCCCAUGCUGGCCAGUUCACAAUUGACUGAAACUCCAGCUUCAAAGGCUCCAACACCCUAUUUGGCUCCUCAGACACCUGCAUACACCUGCUACACACACACAGACACAGACACAUAAAUAAACAUAAAACUAAAAACAGACAAACAUAGAUAGAAGUUAAGUAUUUGGAGUGAAAGAGACCAGGAAAAAAAAUUGAUUUAUUUUUCCUAAAUGAAAUGGGCUUGGGGACCUGAAUUUAAACCCUAAUUCUAUCAUUAAUCACCUGUAUAUUCUAGGACAUGUUUCUUGUCAAUGCCUCAGUUUUCUGUUCUCUAAAUGUUUAUCAAAAGAUUAAUUGAGAUUGAGUAAUGUAUGUCAAACAUUUAGGUGACACAUAAAAUUUUGUAGACUAUACAAGUUAUGAUUAUGAUUUUUUGUGACACACCUCUCUGUAGCCCACACUGGCCUCGAACUUACUAUGUAGCUCAGGGCAGCUAUUCUAUCCUCAUGCCUCAGGCUCCUGAAUACUGAGUAUUGAGAUUCUGAGAUUGGGAAUUGGGAUUGGGAUUCUUCUUAA